UAAGUAUAUUAUUAUAUGUUAUUGUUAACUAUAAUUUACCUACUGUACUAUCAAAUACUAGAACUUAUUCCUUGUAUCUAAAUGUAUUCUUGUAACCAUUAACUAACUUUUCUGAAUUUCCUACUCUCCCCUUCCCUUCCCAGCCUUGUAACCACCUUUCUACUCUGCCUCCAUGAGACCCAUUUUUUAAUCUCCCACAUAUGAGUGAGAACAUUCAAUAUUUGUCUUUCUAGGCUUGGCUUAUUUCACUUACAUUAAUGACCUCCAGUUCCAUCCAUGUUGCUACAAAUGACAGAAUCCCAUUCUUUUUCAUAAUAUUGUCCAUACAUACCACAUUUUCUAUAUCCAUUUAUCUGUUGAUGGACACAGGUUGCAAAGGGAUUGCUGGAUUGUAUGAUAAUUCUAUGUGUAGUUUCUUGAGGAACCUUCAUGGUGUUCUUCAUAGUGGUUGUACUACUGUACAUUCCUACCAAUGGUGGAUGAGCGUUCCCCUUUCUCCACAUCCUCACAAGCAUUUGUUAUUUUUUCUUUUUUUUCAAAUGAACAUUUUAACUGGGGUGAGAUAUCUUAAUGUGGUAUUGGUUUACAUUUCCCUAAUUAUGGUUGAGCAUUUUUUCACAUAUCUAAUGGCCAUUCAUAUGUCUUCCUUUGAGAAAUGUCUAUACAGAUCUCUGGCCCUUUUUUUAAAUUUUUUUUUUUUUUGAAUUGGGGUCACCCAGUCUGGAGGUGAUCUGGGCUUCCACAUCCUGGGCUCAAGUGAUCAUUCCACCUCAGGAUGACCCAAAUAGCUAGGACCAAAGGCGAGUGCCACCAUGCUCAGCUAAUUUUUUUGUAUUUUUUGUAGCGACUGGGUUUCACCAUGUUGCCCAGGCUGGUCUUGAACUCCUGUGCUCAAGUGAUCCGCUCACCUUGGCCUCUCAAAGUGCAGGUACUUUAGGCGUGCCUGGCCUUUUUGUCCAUUUUAUUUUUUUGAGAUGGAGUCUUGCUGUGUCACCCAGGCUGGAGUGCAGUGGUGCGAUCUCGACUCAGUGCAACCUCCGCCUCCCAGGUUCAAGCAAUUCUCCUGCCUCAGCCUCCUGAGUAGCUGGGAUUACAGGUGUGCACCACCACACCCAGCUAAUUUUUUUGUAUUUUUAGUAGAGAGGGGGUGUCACCAUGUUGGCCAGGGUGAUCUUGAACUUCUGACCUUGUGAUCCACCCACCUUGGUCUCCCAAAGUGCUGGGAUUACAGGUGUGAGCCACUGCGCCCAGCCUGUCCAUUUUUUAAUCAGGUUAUGGGUUUUUUGCUAUUGAAUUGUUUGAGUUCCUUAUAUAUUCUGGUUAUGAAUCCCUUGUUAGAUGGUGUGUUAGGCCAUUCUUGUGUUGCUAUAAAGAAAAUCCUGAGUCUGGGUAAUUUAUAAAGAAAAAAGGUGUAAAUGGCUCAUAGUUCUGCAGACUGUACAGGAAGCAUGGCACCAGCAUUGCUUGGCUUCUGGGGAGGCCUCAAGGAACUUUCACUCAUAGCAGAAAGCAAAGCAGGAGCAGGCACAUCACAUGGCAAGAGAGCAAGAGAGAGAGGUGGAGGAGAUGCCACACACUGUUUUAAACAACCAGAUCUCUCAGGAACUCAUUGUUGUUAGAAAAGGAAUUAAAAGAAAUCAAAGAGUGUGUAAGCAGAAACUCAGUUGUACGUAAGAAAACCCAAUUCCCCCUGAGAAAGAGAAAGAGCUGGAGUCCUUUAAAAAUUCACUGCCUGUUUUUCUGGUGGCUAGUGAGUGUUAGCUCUCCUCCCUUCCCAGGCAUUGUGAAGACCCUGUUUCCCUAGCUGUGCAGCUGCAAGGUCACUAGACAGAUAAACUCAAGUCGCAAAACAUGUUUUUCCUUGAAAAGUAAGAAAUGAUGUAAUGCAUGUCUUGACUGAAUAACUGUCUUUGUUUCUUGCUUCUGUAAUAUGCUUCCCCCUGCACAGAUCUCCCCCUGCCCCACGAAAUGCUUAAAAGCUAACUUAACUCUUUGUUCAGGGCUCAGUCCUUUGGAUGUUAAUCUGACUGGGCCGGAGCACCUAAAUAAUAAAUAUUCUCCUGAACCCC
rnacentral:lncRNA from 1 species